UACGUAGGGUGCAAGCGUUGUCCGGAUUUAUUGGGCGUAAAGAGCGUGUAGGCGGCCUGGUAGGUCUGCUGUGAAAACUCGAGGCUCAACCUCGAGAUGUCGGCGGAAACCAUCUGGCUAGAGUCCGGAAGAGGAGAGUGGAAUUCCUGGUGUAGCGGUGAAAUGCGCAGAUAUCAGGAAGAACACCUAUGGCGAAGGCAGCUCUCUGGGACGGUACUGACGCUGAGACGCGAAAGCGUGGGGAGCAAACAGG
rnacentral:rRNA from 1 species